GCACGGAGUUAGCCGGUGCUUCUUCUGCGAGUAACGUCACAGUUGCUGGGUAUUAGCCAACAACCUUUCCUCCUCGCUGAAAAUGCUUUACAACCCGAAGGCCUUCUUCACACACGCGGCAUGGCUGCAUCAGGGUUUCCCCCAUUGUGCAAUAUUCCCCA
rnacentral:rRNA from 1 species